rnacentral:rRNA from 1 species
CGUAGGGUGCAAGCGUUGUCCGGAAUUAUUGGGCGUAAAGAGCUCGUAGGCGGUUUGUCGCGUCGACUGUGAAAACCCGAGGCUUAACCUCGGGCCUGCAGUCGAUACGGGCAGACUAGAGUUCGGUAGGGGAGACUGGAAUUCCUGGUGUAGCGGUGAAAUGCGCAGAUAUCAGGAGGAACACCGGUGGCGAAGGCGGGUCUCUGGGCCGAUACUGACGCUGAGGAGCGAAAGCGUGGGGAGCGAACAGGAUUAGAUACCCUGGUAGUCCACGCCGCAAACGUUGGGCGCUAGGUGUGGGGGUCUUUCCACGAUCUCCGUGCCGCAGCUAACGCAUUAAGCGCCCCGCCUGGGGAGUACGGCCGCAAGGCUA